AUUGAACGCUGGCGGAAUGCUUUACACAUGCAAGUCGAACGGCAGCACGGACUUCGGUCUGGUGGCGAGUGGCGAACGGGUGAGUAAUGUAUCGGAACGUGCCCAGUCGUGGGGGAUAACGUAGUGAAAAUUACGCUAAUACCGCAUACGAUCUAUGGAUGAAAGCGGGGGAUCGCAAGACCUCGCGCGAUUGGAGCGGCCGAUAUCAGAUUAGGUAGUUGGUGGGGUAAAGGCCCCCCAAGCAAACGAUCUGUAGCUGGUCUGAGAGGACGAACAGCCAGACUGGAACUGGGACACGGUCCAGACUCCUACGGGAGGCAGCAGUGGGGAAUUUUGGNCANUGGGCGAAAGCCUGAUCCAGCCAUUCCGCGUGCAGGAUGAAGGCCCUCGGGUUGUAAACUGCUUUUGUACAGAACGAAAAGGUUUCUACUAAUACUNGGAGCUCAUGACGGUACUGUAAGAAUAAGCACCGGCUAACUACGUGCCAGCAGCCGCGGUAA
rnacentral:rRNA from 1 species